rnacentral:rRNA from 1 species
UACGUAGGUGGCAAGCGUUGUCCGGAUUUACUGGGCGUAAAGAGCGCGCAGGCGGUCGUACAAGUCGCGUGUGAAAGCCCCGGCUCAACUGGGAGGGUCACGCGAUACUGUUCGACUCGAAGGCAGGAGAGGGAAGCAGAAUUCCCGGUGUAGUGGUGAAAUGCGUAGAUAUCGGGAGGAAUACCAGUGGCGAAGGCGGCUUCCUGGCCUGUUCUUGACGCUGAGGCGCGAAAGCUAGGGUAGCAA